GACGUAGGGCGCGAGCGUUGUCCGGAUUUAUUGGGCGUAAAGAGCUCGUAGGCGACUUGUCGCGUCGUCCGUGAAAACUUGGGGCUCAACCCCAAGCUUGCGGUCGAUACGGGCAGGCUAGAGUUCGGUAGGGGAGACUGGAAUUCCUGGUGUAGCGGUGAAAUGCGCAGAUAUCAGGAGGAACACCGGUGGCGAAGGCGGGUCUCUGGGCCGAUACUGACGCUGAGGAGCGAAAGCGUGGGGAGCGAACAGG
rnacentral:rRNA from 1 species